AAGAUCCUAGAACUUACCACCAGGAUCACUGAGCUGCUGAGCGGAGAGGUUCCUAUAAGGUGUCAGGAUGUCGCUGUCUAUUUCUCCAUGGAAGAGUGGGAAUAUUUAGAAGAACACAAGGCUCUGUACAAGGAUAGAGACCACAUGGCUGCAUGGAUACUAGACCUCACCCUGGAGAUCAUCUCCUUGAUAACUGGAGAGGAUUACACAGUAGUGAAGAAGUUGUCUGGUGAGUGUG